CCAAUAGCGUAUAUUAAAGUUGUUGCAGUUAAAAAGCUCGUAGUUGAAUUUCGGGACCAAUAUGUCGGUCGUGCUUCGGUACGUACUUGCAUUAUUGGUUUCUCCCUUCUGGAGAACCAUGAUGUCAUUAAUUUGGUGUCUUGGGGAAUCAGGACUGUUACUUUGAAAAAAUUAGAGUGUUUAAAGCAGGCUCACGCUUGAAUACAUUAGCAUGGAAUAAUGAAAUAGGACGUUUGAUUCUAUUUUGUUGGUUUCUAGGAUCGACGUAAUGAUUAAUAGGGAUAGUUAGGGGCAUUAGUAUUAAAUUGUCAGAGGUGAAAUUCUUGGAUUUAUUUAAGACUAACUACUGCGAAAGCAUUUGCCAAGGAUGUUUUCAUUAAUCAAGAACGAAAGUUAGGGGAUCGAAGACGAUCAGAUACCGUCGUAGUCUUAACCAUAAACUAUGCCGACUAGGGAUCGGAUGAUGUUGAUUUUUUAAUGACUCAUUCGGCGCCUUACG
rnacentral:rRNA from 1 species